rnacentral:lncRNA from 1 species
ACGUUUGCCUGAGCAUACUCCCAGCCUCCCAGGGCCCCUUCUGUGUGCCCUGCCUCUGAUUGCAAGUGCAGAGAGCAGUUCUCCCAAGAGCCAGGGCUCAGCUCACCCCUGCAGGUAACGCAGACCUCUGCUAGGGAUCAGCUGUCUAUCAUCUGGUGGCGCCCCUCUUUCCAGCCAGCGCUACAUCUUCAUAUGCCUUUUCUUACCAACAGGUCAGCAAUGUGGGUGACAGAUACUUCUUUUUGCUGUUGGAACACUUCAUAUUCAUCUCUGGUAUUGUCAUGGCCUUUGACAUACCUUACCAACAAGAGAGGUUUGUUGACUGAUGACAGCAGGUAUAACAAAAUCUAACUAGUGACAGUUGUAAGAAUUGGCAAAGUAUUACUGCAUCAACAGGUAUGUGGACUGUCUAAGAGCCUCAGAAAGGACAAAGAAAGAAGCUUACAGAUUCCGAUGCCCCUUACUACUGUAUCUGGCCUUUCUCCUGCCGGUAUAGUGAGAGUUGACAGUUUGAUGGAUUUAAUUUAGGAUCUAUGUUAGGAUGAGAUGCACUCUGUUUUCCUAAACAAAUUUGCUGCAGAAUGGCAGCCACAGUCUAGGGCCUCCUUGAGCUUGAGGCUAAAUGACCUGAUGGCCCACCCACUUCAUCUAUACUGCCUUUAAUAUGUCAGCAUUUCCUCAAGGCCUGGGUUUCGUGCACUCAGGGUGAUAUUGAACAUGAAGUUUUCAAACAGCAAUACCUUGGGUAACAGACAAGGGCUAGUUAAUGAUCUCAUUCAUAAUUCAUCCCGUGAAGGAACCAUUUACACUCAAACUCCAAGCAGGAAGAAAAUAUUCCCAUUAGGUAGGGCUUUUUAAAUGCCUCUGCCUUUGCCACAGUGCUGAGAGAGAACUGUGGUCUUCAGUAGUAAGGGCAUAUGGCUGCAAACAGAGUGCCCAGGUUAGAGACACCAAGAGCUGCAGCAUCACUCAGUAAUAGCUAUUUCAGAGGGAUGUAAAGCCUUCCCUGGGAAAAAGUUGAAUAGGACUCAGUGCCUAAACACAGCACUUUCAAAAAGAAAUGAAUCUCUAAUUAAACAUCCUGAAGACAGAAGCUGACAUGUCAUUGCAGAGCUAAUAAUAAGACCUCAUGAAAUGUUCAAAAGUUCUCCAGAGUAAGUGUGAACAAUUACAUUUCCCUCUCUCCAUCAGUGAAGGGUUACC